rnacentral:rRNA from 1 species
AUGAAGAUGGCGACUUGCAUUCGUAAGGUGGCCUCGGAGGAGUUUGGAGUGUCCAGGGAAAGGAGAAGCGAAGAUAAGGAUACCUGGUGGUGGAAUGAUGAUGUCCAGAAGGCGCUUAAAGAGAAGAAAGAUUGCUUCAGACGCCUAUACCUAGAUAGGAGUGCAGACAACAUAGAGAAGUACAAGAUGGCGAAGAAGGCCGCAAAGCGAGCUGUUGGUGAAGCAAGGGGUCGGGCAUAUGAGGACCUCUACCAACGGUUAGGCACGAAGGAAGGUGAAAGGGACAUCUAUAAGAUGGCUAAGAUCCGGGAGAGGAAGACGAGG